GCUUAAAACUCAAAGGACUUGGCGGUGCUUUAUAUCCCCCUAGAGGAGCCUGUUCUAUAAUCGAUAAACCCCGAUAUACCUCACCACCCUUUGCUAAUCCAGUCUAUAUACCGCCAUCUUCAGCAAACCCUUAAAAGGUGGAACAGUAAGCACAACCAUUUUACAUAAAAAAGUUAGGUCAAGGUGUA
rnacentral:rRNA from 1 species